AACGAACGCUGGCGGCAGGCUUAACACAUGCAAGUCGAGCGCCCCGCAAGGGGAGCGGCAGACGGGUGAGUAACACGUGGGAACGUACCCUGAACUACGGAACAGCUCCGGGAAACUGGAAUUAAUACCGUAUGUGUCCUGAGGGACAAAGGUUUACCGGUUCAGGAUCGGCCCGCGUCCGAUUAGCUAGUUGGUGGGGUAAUGGCCUACCAAGGCGACGAUCGGUAGCUGGUCUGAGAGGAUGAUCAGCCACAUUGGGACUGAGACACGGCCCAAACUCCUACGGGAGGCAGCAGUGGGGAAUAUUGGACAAUGGGCGCAAGCCUGAUCCAGCCAUGCCGCGUGAGUGAUGAAGGUCUUAGGAUUGUAAAGCUCUUUCACCGGGGACGAUAAUGACGGUACCCGGAGAAGAAGCCCCGGCUAACUUCGUGCCAGCCGCCGCCGUAAAAC
rnacentral:rRNA from 1 species